UGAGGAAUAUUGCGCAAUGGGGGAAACCCUGACGCAGCGACGCCGCGUGAGUGAGGAAGGCCUUCGGGUCGUAAAGCUCUGUCAGUAGGGAAGAAAUGCUAUAUGGUUAAUACCCAUGUAGUUUGACGGUACCUGCAAAGGAAGCACCGGCUAACUCCGUGCCAGCAGCCGCGGUAAUACGGAGGGUGCAAGCGUUGUUCGGAAUUACUGGGCGUAAAGGGAGCGCAGGCGGUUUUACAAGUCAGAUGUGAAAGCCCACGGCUUAACCGUGGAAGUGCAUUUGAAACUGUAAGACUUGAGUAUCAGAGGGGAAAGUGGAAUUCCCGGUGUAGAGGUGAAAUUCGUAGAUAUCGGGAGGAAUACCGGUGGCGAAGGCGACUUUCUGGCUGAAUACUGACGCUGAGGCUCGAAAGCGUGGGGAGCAAACAGGAUUAGAUACCCUGGUAGUCCACGCCGUAAACGAUGUGCACUAGAUGUAGGAGGGCUUGUCCCUUUUGUGGCGCAGCUAACGCGAUAAGUUGACCGCCUGGGGAGUACGGCCGCAAGGUUA
rnacentral:rRNA from 1 species